AGAGUUUGAUCCUGGCUCAGGAUGAACGCUGGCGGCGUGUCUAAGGCAUGCAAGUCGAACGCGUGUAGCAAUACACGAGUGGCAAACGGGAGCGUAACACAUUGGUAACCUACCCCGAAGCUCGGCAUAACUCACCGAAAGGUGAGCUAAUACCGGAUGUGCUUAGUCGAUACUUUCGAUUAAGUAAAGAUUUAUCACUUCGGGAGGGGCCUAUGGUCUAUCAGCUUGUUGGUGAGGUAACGGCUCACCAAGGCGACGACGGAUACCGGGUGUGAGAGCAUGACCCGGCUCACUGGGACUGAAACACUGCCCAGACUCCUACGGGAGGCUGCAGUCAAGAAUCUUCCCCAAUGGCCGAAAGGCUGAGGGAGCGACGCCGCGUGUGGGAAGAAGCCCUUCGGGGUGUAAACCACUUUUCUCAGGGAAAAACUAAUGAUGGUACCUGAGGAAUAAGGGGCUGCUAACUUCGUGCCAGCAGCAGCGGUAAUACGAAGGCCCCAAGCGUUAUCCGGAAUCACUGGGCGUAAAGAGCUCAACGGUGGUAUGCUAAGUUCUCCGUCAAAUAUUCAGGCUUAACCUGAAUGCUGCGGGGAAAACUGGCACACUUGAGGGCAGGAGAGGCAGACGGAAUUGCCGGUGUAGUAGUAAAAUGCGUUAAUAUCGGCAAGAACACCAAAUGCGAAGGCAGUCUGCUAGAAUGACCCUGACACUACACGAGCGAAAGCGUGGGGAGCGAAUGGGAUUAGAUACCCCAGUAGUCCACGCCGUAAACGAUGGAUACUAUGCAUUGGAAGUGUCGACCCUUUCAGUGUAGGUUAAUAAGCUAACGCUUUAAGUAUCCCGCCUGGGGAGUACGGCCGCAAGGCUAAAACUCAAAGGAAUUGACGGGAACCCGCACAAGCGGUGGAGCAUGUGGUUUAAUUCGACGAUAACCGAGGAACCUCACCAGGGCUUGAAAUCCUAGCUGCAAAGCCGCAGAAACGUGGCCUUCUUCGAGAGUGCUAGGACAGGUGCU
rnacentral:rRNA from 1 species